AGCAGGGAGCUGAGGGGACACAGGAGGGAGAAGGUGUUUCUGCCAAUCAGAGAGCAGCACUACUGAAAUAGAACUCCCAGGAGGUAACAGCGUGUCACACAUGUGAUGUCAUAACCAUUGUCCACCAAAGAGCAGCACUGAGCAGAAAUAACACUGCUCCUGUUCAUUCUCCAUCAGUGAGGGGCCGGUGCUGGACACUGUGUAGGGACGCGGGAAUGCAAAGUCAUACACAUGACUGUGACUGAUGCACUAUCUCCAGGACAUGGAGUAGCAUUUCCGGACCUACAGCAAGACGUUGGAUGAAGGCAUAGCCCCAGAAAUAACACUGGUCCUGUUCAUCAGUGAGGGGCCGGUGCUGGACACUGUGUAGGGACACGGGAAUGCAAAGUCAUGCACAUGACUGUGACUGAUGCACUAUUUCCAGGACAUGGAGUAGCAUUUCCGGACCUACAGCAAGACGUUGGAUGAAGGCAUAGCCCCAGAAAUAACACUGGUCCUGUUCAUCAGUGAGGGGCCGGUGCUGGACACUGUGUAGGGACACGGGAAUGCAAAGUCAUACACAUGACUGUGACUGAUGCACUAUCUCCAGGACAUGGAGUAGCAUUUCCGGACCUACAGCAAGACGUUGGAUGAAGGCAUAGCCCCAGAAAUAACACUGGUCCUGUUCAUCAGUGAGGGGCCGGUGCUGGACACUGUGUAGGGACGCGGGAAUGCAAAGUCAUGCACAUGACUGUGACUGAUGCACUAUCUCCAGGACAUGGAGUAGCAUUUCCGGACCUACAACAAGACGUUGGAUGAAGGCAUAGCCCCAGAAAUAACACUGGUCCUGUUCAUCAGUGAGGGGCCGGUGCUGGACACUGUGUAGGGACGCGGGAAUGCAAAGUCAUGCACAUGACUGUGACUGAUGCACUAUCUCCAGGACAUGGAGUAGCAUUUCCGGACCUACAGCAAGACGUUGGAUGAAGGCAUAGCCCCAGAAAUAACACUGGUCCUGUUCAUCAGUGAGGGGCCGGUGCUGGACACUGUGUAGGGACACGGGAAUGCAAAGUCAUGCACAUGACUGUGACUGAUGCACUAUUUCCAGGACAUGGAGUAGCAUUUCGGGACCUACAGCAAGACGUUGGAUGAAGGCACAGGCCUAGGAAUCAUGCACAUACACAGAAACAUUUGCCCAAAUUAUAGAGGUAACCUCCUUUAGUAUGCCCAGAGGAAGGGCCAUACAGUAGCCAUGGAUUCCCUACAGGUUUCCUCCCCUCUGGAGGUUUUUCCUGUCCUGAGUAUUAGUUACUGUACGCUCUUUGUGAGUGAUGGGAGGUUACAA